UUUUUUUUUGUAAUCAAUUCACUCAAAUCUGCCAUGAGGAGUUGAGGAACAGUCCAUUUUAUUUUAUAGUAUAAUUUCUUUCAAUACUUAUAUUUUAAUUACACUAGGUAUCUAUUAUAUAAUAUUAAACUUAACAGUUCACUUAAUUUACAAUAAUGGGAUUAUUAAGGUCCGGAGUAAAAGCUCGACUAGAGUCGGUCACUGAAUUGAUGAAAACAUCCUACCAUUUCGCCUUCAUUCCUUUUGUUAUAUAUAUGGGUAUGUCUUAAUUUUAUGAGCAAGCAAUACAAUUAAUAUAUUUAGCUAUGUUCAUUGGGAAUAAACAAAAUGUACACCUUUGAUAAGAAAUACAUUACUCACAUCAUAAAAUGUGUAGAUGUUAAAACAACACAAUAGUGUAAAAUUUAUAUUGUAUAAAAGUACACUUUUGUUACAAUGAACAAAGCUUUUAUAAAAUGUCUUAAUGCAUUGAAUUCAUAUACCUGUUUAUAAUUUGUUUUAUAGUUUUAUACUUUUAUUUUAUUAAUUAUGAUUUUAGCGCUGAAAUAUUUAAAUACUAUCUUUCUAUUGUUUCUUUUAUUUUUUCAAUCUUCUUCUGCGCCUUUAUCCCAACUAUUUGGAGUCGCCUACCUCGCUUUAAACUUCCAUCUAACUUCAUCUCUCACCUUGCAUACAUCGGCUGUCUUAUUAUUCUUAAUCCAAUCACCUCUUACUCAGUUUUCUAUCUAAUACUUAAGUCUCUUUCCUUCAUGUUUAACUUCCUCAGUCAAGAAGUCAAGCCUAUUAUUAACUUAUUCCAAAUUUUUUCAAAAUGUUAUUGUCAAGUAUAAAAUGAAUUCCUCCAUCCUACAGAAACAAUACCAUAUGCCUACUGGAAUUACAAACUUAGUUUUUCCACCAGUAACUCGAGCUCUGGGCAACUGGGCAUUAAUAUUUAAAUAAUACUUGAUUAUUUUUUAAUUAAUUAAAACAUAUUUUUUACAGAUAGACUUAAUUUAUUUAUUUUUUUUUGUAAAUUAAAAGGUUUUAAAAAAGGACCCGAACUUGGCGGCCCAGAAUUUGGACUUAUGAGGUAACUUAAUAUUUUCAUUUAUUAGAUAUUAUUAUUAAACUAUCCCAUAUCUUUUCCAUUAUUCAUACCUUAUGUAUGAAGGGCCCAGAAAUAAAUUAUUAUUAUAACAUUAUUAAAAUUAAUCAUUGUAAAAUAAAUUGUAGAUCAACCAUGAUAAUGAAGAGAUAUAAUAGAAUAUUUCAAUAUAAUUCAAUAUGUACUUAUAUUUCUGUGUGUAAAUAUCUGUAUUUAUUAUUAUUGUUAUUAUUAUAAUUAUUAUUGUUUAUUUCUUUGAAAAGAUAAUGGGCCCCACUGAACAGGUUCGUGUGGGGGCCCAUGAGUUCACAAUUUAUAAUAAGAAAAAUAUUACAUUCAAAUAAUAAUUUAAAUUUAACUUUUUUUUUACAAUUUUAGACUUAUGAAACUAACUUAAACAUAUAUAAUGUAGGUAACAAUAAUUAAUAUUUGUAGACUUAAUGUAUAAUACAGUUUGAUAAAAUAUAAAAGCAAGCAACUAAAUCAAAGAUAUACAAAUAUUUAAAGUAUUAAAUGAUAGAGACAAUUAUAUAAUAUGCACUUACGUCAUAAUUGUUAAUUAUUUUGAAUUUUAAACUAAUUUAAAACCAUAUUAACAGUUUACAGUCUACUGAAAUAUGAGAAAUAUAUGAUGGUGAAUAUGUAUGUUUUUUGUAUAUAAUACAAAAAGCUAGUACUACAAUAAAAAAACAUUAUAAUAUUGAAAAGUACAUUAUAUGUAUUUACAAAAAUUCUCUAAAAUAGUAUUGAAAUAUUCUCAAUAAUUAUUUACACUUACUGAAAAGUUAUUACCAAUAUAAAUAAUUGUUUUAUUAACAAAUAUAAUUAAAAAUAUUGUAAAACUAUAAUUCAGAACUAACUCACAAUAAAAACAAUUGUUUAUUUUACAAUAACUAAUGAUUUUAUUUUAAUUAUUAUUUAAUUUUUUUAAUUUUUGUUUAAAAUUUAAAAUUUACUUUUAUGUAACAAUUUUCAAAUAGAUUUUAUGAUAAAUAUUAUGUUUUAUUUUAAGAAAAUUGAUACAAUUUUUUAAUAUUUUACUUGUAAUGUUCAUUAUUUAAAUUUGGAGCGUAACAUGGAAUGUAUUGAUUUUAUAAUGGCAUUUAUUUUUUUUUUUUUUUUUGUUACCUAUCUGUGAACAAUCUUUCUACCAGAAAUUUUUUGCCGAUUUUCAAGUGAAGCAUAUUUUCUGAAAGGAAAUUUCGUCUAGGUGGUACUUUAAGUAGGUCACUAACAGGAAAAUUUACAUACAUUAAAGAAACUUUGUUCAGAAUCAUUUUUCGUUAAUAAUGAUUUAUCGUUGGGUACAAAUAUAAAUUAAAAUUCCCCUCUAAAUCCUACCUUUCCAACUUCUCACCUAUAGUGUAAAGUGUAUGUCUUUUUGUAUAAUUAAGUUUAUUUAUUAUAAAUAUUGAUAUACAUUUCUGUCACUGUUACAAAGUAAAAAUAAACCUAAAUAAUUAAACAUUUGACUAUGUACUUCUCUUAAAACAUUAUUUUGAAUAUCUGCAAAUUAAUUUUUAAACACGCCAUAUCUUAAAAUACUUAUUGUAAUUUAAUUUAUAUAAUAUAUUAUGUUUUUUUUAACACUAGUAAUAAUUUUAUUCUGUUUCAGUCUCCUGUGGCAGUAAUUUAGAAAUUAAUUUUCAAAAAUAUCAAGAAACAACAAAUAUGCAAUAUUUUAGAAUAAUAACAGUUUAGAAAUUAAUAUAUAUAUAAAACAAACAGACUCAAAUUACAUUUAUGUUGGUAGCUGAAGUAGUGAAAUAAAGUUAUUCAUGUGACUUAUAAUAUGUUAUGGUUUAUUUUAAUGCUUUUUGACUUUAUCCUUUCCUUUGACAACGUUUAAAUGAGGAUAUCUUGUAAUUAUUAUUUUUC